AGGAGGUUGGCASMUKAAUGUACCUGAUUUAGGCUCAGCCCAUGAGGAAUUCUCCUCACCUUCUA
rnacentral:tRNA from 1 species